UGUUACUGCAGAGUCGGUGGAGGGUAAGAAGGAUGGUCCCUGCCAUUACGAGAGGGCCCUGCAGUGCAGUGUUUCAGGAUGGGGCCACCUGGGAGGGCAGCGGAUGACAUUAGGAGCUGGGAGGAACUAGCUGGGGUGUUGCCUGAAGAAGUUGGGGGCAGGUAGGCCAGUGUACACAGGGCUCUGUGGGCCCAGCAAAGAGGAGUGACCAGAGGCAGGAUCUGGUGUGGGCUGGAGAAAGGCCUUGGCCUGCAGGUGGCACAGGCCAGGCUGGAGGCAGAGGGCUGUUUAGGAGACCAUUUCGGUUAUAAAGCAGGGAUGACAGAAGCUGGGCUCGGGAAACUGAUAGAGACAGAGACUUGGAAAACACAAGGCUUAAAGACUGAUGAAGGGGUAGAGGUGGCUAGUUGCAAGCCUGGGGCAGCCAGGUGCACAGUGGUAGCUUGUGUGGAGGGAGAGGAUGGAAGAAGGGGGCAAAUUAUAGGCAGAAGAGGCCAUGUCCAUUUGCAAAGGUUGCGUGCAAGACCCUGGAGGCCCCUGAGGAAGAGAGAUGGAAGAUGUGGGUAUCUGGCCCAAAAGCAUGGAAGGGUCCCUGAAGAUCCAGCCACCGCCUAGUUAUGCUGUUUGUACAGGGGCCAUUGCAAGGGAGGAAACCAUCCUGCCACUGGGAACCAGGAAGACGGGUGAAAGGCAAGGAAUAUGCAAAAUGAGUCUCAGCUCUCCUUUGAGACACCUUCCGGCCCUGGUAGAGUCCAGUGGCAGGGGAGCUUUGGUAUGAACCAUGCCCGGUAACAGGGACUGUGCAGAGGAAGAAUCCCAGCUAGCCUAUGGAUGAAGAGCUCAGUGAAAGGAGAUAAGCCCAGUGCGGGCAGGGCUUCCCAGGGCUGGAGUGCAGACAGAGGCAGGAGAGCAGCCCAGGAUGGAAGAAGGGUGUGCCAGGUAGAAGCAGGAAGGCUUGAGUGGCCA
rnacentral:lncRNA from 1 species